rnacentral:rRNA from 1 species
UAGCGCUCAUAGAAAUGUUUUGCACCAUCUUUGGCAUCAACAAUGACAACAGGGAACGCUACACUGUCACUGGCUGCGAGUAGCUUUCUGAGAGCGUCAAUGAGUAGCCACUCACCAAAACCUUUUCCUUUGUAUCUAUCGUCGACAGCUAAACGAGCAAUGAGCCCUCCAGAGGUUGAGGAUUGGUGCUUCUUUUGUAACUUGUCGGGCAAGGCUUUCAAAUCAAUGGGCGUCAUAGUCAGAGUGUAAAAGCCGAUGAUAUAAGCACUGUUAUUGUCAUCUUCCAAAACGAAGGUUCUGGUGUUGUCUUUUUUGGCUUGCUGACUCGCCAUUACUUUUAAGUAAUUGUUGAGUGCUUCAGUGCCACAAUUGAAACGGUUCCUAUCGUGCUUAUCUUUAUCGAGAAGUACCGUAUUCAUCAUUGAGUUUUGCUCUCAUAACGUUCGGAUGCCAAUUUGAGCUUUGCAUUUACUACAGCUGGAUUAUCAAGAGCUUCCAUCAGCAAUACGGCAUCAGCUUGGCUAAGCUUUAGAGCUUGCUCACGUUCAAUGACUUGUUUUGCUUUUUCGAUUGCUGCAUUCAAAACAAAUGAGUUAAUACUAGACAUACCAGCAAGAGCAGCAGCCUUGGCGAGUAAAUCUUGAGUAUCGACAUCAACUCUAGCGGUGAUGCGAGGCAAAGUCGUUGCCAUAGUUUUAUCUCCUGUUGUGUCAAACUGUCACAUGGGCAUUAUGGCGUUAAAGUGUUCAACAAGCAAUCUUUGUGUCACUUUGGCACGCAAACUAACAAGCGCCUCAAGAGGGACUGUCAACGCGCGGCGUUUCCAGUCCCAAUGAGCCGCGGUGGUUGCAGUUGUUGUGUUUGAGUUUAGUUGUAUGCGUUGCCAGCCCCUUAGGCGGGCGUUAUGUGUUUUCCUAGAAAAUGGAGUUUCUGAUGAAAAUUAGUCACCUUGAUCAUUUGGUUCUGACUGUUGCAGAUAUUCCAACAACAACGAACUUUUAUGAAAAAGUGUUGGGCAUGAAAGCUGUUAGUUUUGGCGCUGGUCGGAUUGCUCUAGAGUUUGGUCACCAGAAGAUCAAUCUUCAUCAACUCGGUAAUGAGUUUGAACCUAAAGCCCAAAAUGUCAGAGUUGGGAGCGCAGAUUUGUGCUUUAUUACCGACACAGUUCUGUCUGAUGCGAUGAAGCAUGUGGAGAAUCAA